AUUACUGGGCGUAAAGGGUUCGUAGGUGGUGCGGCAAGUUGGGAGUGAAAUCUCUGGGCUUAACCCAGAGGCUGCUUUCAAAACUGCCGCGCUCGAGUGCGAGAGAGGUCAGUGGAAUUGCAGGUGUAGCGGUGAAAUGCGUAGAUAUCUGCAGGAACACCCGUGGCGAAGGCGGCUGACUGGAUCGCAACUGACACUGAGGAACGAAAGCUAGGGGAGCAAACAGGAUUAGAUACCCUGGUAGUCCUAGCCCUAAACCCUCGCAACUUGGGGUGGCCCGCGUAGGCGGGUCGUCCCGUAGCUAACGCGUUAAGUUCCGCGCCUGGGGAGUACGGUCGCAAGACUGAAACUCAAAGGAAUUGACGGGGGCCCGCACAAGCGGUGGAACAUGUGGUUCAAUUCGACGCAACGCGAAGAACCUUACCUGGGCUUGAACCGCUACUGACCAACGGUAGAAAUAUCGUCUUCCCGCAAGGGACAGUAGUAGAGGUGCUGCAUGGCUGUCGUCAGCUCGUGCCGUGAGGUGUUGGGUUAAGUCCCGCAACGAGCGCAACCCUUAUUCGUAGUUGCCACCCGCAAGGGGGAACUCUACGAGGACUGCUCCGGAUAACGGAGAGGAAGGUGGGGAUGACGUCAAGUCAGCACGGCCUUUAUGUCCAGGGCUACACACGUGUUACAAUGCACGGUACAGACUGUUGCGAACCCGCGAGGGGGAGCUAAUCGGACAAAACCGUGCUCAGUUCGGAUUGCAGUCUGCAACUCGACUGCAUGAAGCUGGAAUCGCUUAGUAAUGGCGCAUCAGAUCGCGCCGUGAAUACGUUCCCG
rnacentral:rRNA from 1 species